CGGCCACAGAACAACAAUAAAAGUCCCAUUUAAGAGUUGCUGGUGUGACAAUAGGAAGAAUAUAUUCCACUCCUCUCGUGUACACGCGGUUUAUGAGAGUUGGGCUUUGCCCCUUAGUUCCAGUGAAAGGAACUUUGAAUGGCCCAGGAUACCAAAACAUGUUGGAGAAUUCCUUGGGAUGGCACUUCAAGUUCAUAUGGGGCGAUGGCGCCUAUCUCAGCUACAAUCGGGCGGAAGGCGGGGUACACCCUGGACAAGUCGCCCCUCAUCGCAGGGCCAACACAGAUAGACAGACAACAUUCACACUCACAUUCAAACACUGAAUGUGAGGGUUUGGUGCUAGCGGGGUGUAUAAUAUAGCCGGUAUGAGUCAUGGAUGCAUUGCAUUCUGGGCAAGUGUUUAUAAUGUGUUACAGAGCCGAUGUUCUCCAGAAAUGUGUUUGUUAUUCUUGUUUGGUGUGGGUUCACAGUGUGUGGCGCAUAUUAGUAAGAGUGUUAAAGUUGUUUUAUAUCACAACCAUCAGUGUGAUCUGUAUGGCUGUGGAACAAGACCCCUGGUUUACACAUAGUAAAAGCAAAAAAUACCUCCUCCGCCAUUUUGGAAAUGACGACAUGGGAAGUGUCACUCGUGAUGUCAUGAAUUUGACCUGGCAGUAAAAGUAAGCACGCGCUUAUAAAUUUAGGGAGCGGGUUUGACCCUGCAGUAAUUCAAGGCAGGCAGGCGCAUAUUACAUGCCUGGCGGCCAUUCAAGGAA